UGAUGACGAGACGCUAAGGCGUUGAAGCAGUGUAUGUCAGACUUCCAAGAAAAGCUCGCAAUGUCACAAAUAAAAAGUGCCUGUACCAUAACCGACACAGGUGGGUAGGUAGAGUAUACUAAGGGGCGCGAGAUAACUCUCUCUAAGGAACUCGGCAAAAUGACUCCGUAACUUCGGGAGAAGGAGUGCCUUAUUUAUAAGGUUGCAAUAACAAGAUCCAAGCAACUGUUUAUCAAAAACACAGGUCUCCGCUAAGUCGUAAGACGAUGUAUGGGGGCUGACGCCUGCCCAGUGCCAGAAGGUUAAAGAAGUUGGUUAGUGUAUGCGAAGCUGAUGACUGAAGCCCUGGUGAACGGCGGCCGUAACAAUAACGGUCCUAAGGUAGCGAAAUUCCUUGUCGGGUAAGUUCCGACCCGCACGAAAGGCGUAAUGAUUUGGAUACUGUCUCGGAGAGAGGCUCGGUGAAAUAGACUUGUCUGUGAAGAUGCGGACUACCUGCACCAGGACAGAAAGACCCUAUGAAGCUUUACUGUAACUUGAAAUUGGAAUUGGACUUUGCUUGCGCAGUAUAGGUGGGAAGCGUUGAAAAUAUUCUUGCGGGAGUAUUGGAGCUAUCAGUGAGAUACCACUCUUGUAAUGUUAGAUUUCUAACUUUGAACCAUAAUCUGGUCAAAGAACAGUUUCAGGUGGGCAGUUUGACUGGGGCGGUCGCCUCCCAAAUGGUAACGGAGGCGUACAAAGGUUUCCUCUGAACGGAUAGAAAUCGUAUCUAGAGUGUAAAGGCAUAAGGAAGCUUGACUGUGAGACCUACAAGUCGAGCAGGGACGAAAGUCGGUCUUAGUGAUCUGACGGUACUGAGUGGAAAGGCCGUCACUCAACGGAUAAAAGUUACUCUAAGGAUAACAGGCCGAUCUCCCCCAAGAGUUCACAUCGACGGGGAGGUUUGGCACCUCGAUGUCGGCUCAUCGCAUCCUGGGGCGGUAGUACGUCCCAAGGGUUGGGCUGUUCGCCCAUGAAAGCGGUACGCGAGCUGGGUUCAGAACGUCGUGAGACAGUUCGGUCCAUAUCCGGUGUAGGCGCUAGAAUAUUGAGAGGAGCCUUCUUUAGUACGAGAGGACCGAGAAGGACACACCGCUGGUGUACCAGUUAUCGUGCCAACGGUAAACGCUGGGUAGCUAUGUGUGGAGUGGAUAACCGCUGAAAGCAUCUAAGUGGGAAGCCCACCUCGAGAU
rnacentral:rRNA from 1 species